AGAGUUUGAUCCUGGCUCAGAAUGAACGCUGGCGGCGUGCUUAACACAUGCAAGUCGAACGAGAAAGGGAUUGCUUGCAAUCCUGAGUAGAGUGGCGCACGGGUGAGUAACACGUAGAUAAUCUACCUUCAAGCCUGGGAUAACUAUCCGAAAGGGUAGCUAAUACCGGAUAAAGUUGAUUAACACAAGUUAAUUUAUGAAAGAUUGCCUCUUCUUGAAAGCAAUUGUUUGGAGAUGAGUCUGCGGACCAUUAGCUAGUUGGUGGGGUAAAGGCCUACCAAGGCUGCGAUGGUUAGCUGGUCUGAGAGGAUGAUCAGUCACACUGGAACUGGAACACGGUCCAGACUCCUACGGGAGGCAGCAGUGAGGAAUUUUGCGCAAUGGGGGAAACCCUGACGCAGCAACGCCGCGUGAGUGAAGAAGGCCUUUGGGUCGUAAAGCUCUGUCAACUGGGAAGAAGUUAUAGUUAUCCAAUAGGUAGCUGUAUUGACGGUACCAGUGGAGGAAGCGCCGGCUAACUCCGUGCCAGCAGCCGCGGUAACACGGGGGGCGCAAGCGUUAUUCGGAAUUAUUGGGCGUAAAGGGCGCGUAGGCGGUCUUGUCGGUCAGAUGUGAAAGCCCAGGGCUCAACCCUGGACGUGCAUUUGAAACAGCAAGACUUGAGUACGGGAGAGGAAAGCGGAAUUCCUGGUGUAGAGGUGAAAUUCGUAGAUAUCAGGAGGAACACCGAUGGCGAAGGCAGCUUUCUGGACCGAUACUGACGCUGAGGCGCGAAGGCGUGGGUAGCGAACAGGAUUAGAUACCCUGGUAGUCCACGCAGUAAACGAUGUUCACUAGGUGUAGCGGGUAUUAAAAUCUGCUGUGCCGGAGCUAACGCAUUAAGUGAACCGCCUGGGGAGUACGGUCGCAAGACUAAAACUCAAAGGAAUUGACGGGGGCCCGCACAAGCGGU
rnacentral:rRNA from 1 species